rnacentral:rRNA from 1 species
UACGUAGGCAGCGAGCGUUGUUCGGAGUUACUGGGCGUAAAGGGUGCGUAGGCGGUUGUUUAAGUUUGGUGUGAAAAUCUCCCCGGCUCAACUGGGAGGGUGCGCCCGAAUACUGAGAGGCUAGAGUGCGGGAGAGGAAAGUGGAAUUCCUGGUGUAGCGGGUGAAAUGCGUAGAUAUCAGGAGGAACACCGGUGGUGUAAACGCUUUCUGGACCGUAACUGACGCUGAGGCACGAAAGCGUGGGUAGCAAACAGG